rnacentral:rRNA from 1 species
AUUGAACGCUGGCGGCGUGCUUAACACAUGCAAGUCGAACGCGAAAGGGGCUUCGGCCCUGAGUAAAGUGGCGCACGGGUGAGUAACACGUGGAUAAUCUGCCCUUAUGAUCGGGAUAACAGUCGGAAACGGCUGCUAAUACCGGAUACGCUCAAAAUGAACUUUUUGAGGAAAGGUGACCUCUGCUUGCAAGUUACCGCAUGAGGAUGAGUCCGCGUCCCAUUAGCUUGUUGGUGGGGUAAUGGCCUACCAAGGCAACGAUGGGUAGCCGAUUUGAGAGGAUGAUCGGCCACACUGGGACUGAAACACGGCCCAGACUCCUACGGGAGGCAGCAGUGGGGAAUAUUGCGCAAUGGGCGAAAGCCUGACGCAGCGACGCCGCGUGAGGGAUGAAGGUUUUCGGAUCGUAAACCUCUGUCAGAAGGGAAGAAACCGCACUGUGCUAAUCAGCAGUGCCUUGACGGUACCUUCAAAGGAAGCACCGGCUAACUCCGUGCCAGCAGCCGCAGUAA